UAAGUUUGGGAUCACGUCUUGUGAAC
rnacentral:piRNA from 1 species